AUUUUUUGUUAGCUUUUUAGUGUCGAUGCUUCUGGUGUAGGGGAAGUCCGGUGAAAAUCCGGCGCUGUCCCGCAACUGUGAGCUGGACGAAAGCCCAUUAAGCCACUGCCGAGAACCUAAUAUAUUUAGGUGCUCGGUGGGAAGGCGGGCGAGUAGGAUGAAGGCGAGCCAGGAGACCCAGCCAGAAGUCAGCGGCAAAA
rnacentral:ncRNA from 2 species